ACCUAUCUCCAGGCGGCUGACCAGUGGAAAGCGCUGAGUGGCAGACCUGCAGAAGAACAGAAGGUGAAGCCAGAAGUCCCACCUGCCCUACCAGCGCCUCAGAAGGAAAGAGCUAAACCAGAAGAUUUUCC